GAUGAACGCUAGCUACAGGCUUAACACAUGCAAGUCGAGGGGUAACGAGAGGAAAGCUUGCUUUCCUUGUCGACGACCGGCGCACGGGUGAGUGACGCGUAUCCAACCUGCCCCCAACUAGGGAAUAACCUUGCGAAAGUAAGACUAAUACCCUAUAAUUUCCUCAGAUGUCAUCUGACGAGGAAUAAAGAUUUAUCGGUUGUGGAUGGGGAUGCGUCUGAUUAGCUUGUUGGCGGGGUAACGGCCCACCAAGGCAACGAUCAGUAGGGGUUCUGAGAGGAAGGUCCCCCACAUUGGAACGGAGACGCGGUCCAAACUGCUACGGGAGGCUGCAGUGGGGAAUAUUGGUCAAUAGGCGGAAGCCUGAACCAGCCAAGUAGCGUGCAGGAUGACGGCCCUAUGGGUUGUAAACUGCUUUUAUACAGGAAUAAAGUUAGCCACGUGUGGUUAUUUGUAGGUACUGUAUGAAUAAGGACCGGCUAAUUCCGUGCCAGCAGCCGCAGUAA
rnacentral:rRNA from 1 species